CUUCUUCUCCUCCUCCUCUUUUCUUUCUUAUCCUCCUUCGGAAUCCUAUUUUAGCGAUCAAAGCCAUGUAACAUAAUGUUCCCCAAGUAAAGCAUUUUGGGAUGCACAUACCAGAUUGCAGUACCCUAAGUGGUUAGUGAAUUGCAUAACUACUAUGUUUUUGAAAUGGGUAACAAAGACAUGGUAGGGAUGCAAGAAAGCAUGCUCUUUAUGAAUAAGCUUGCCACUGGGAGAAAGAUUGGAGAUUGUCAGCUCUCACAACCUUUUGUGUGGACCACUCUACCAUAUUUAUCCUAAACAAAUUGAAGGACGUACCCAUUGCAUUAAAACACAAGAGACACAGAUGCUAGGUUCAGAAACUCACACCAUAGUGUUCAACAAACAUAUCAACCUCAAACAUACUACUAACCAGCAACCAGAUCAUCAACAGCUAAUAAAUGUAGCAUGGCAAAACUCUUGAUAACAACAAG
rnacentral:misc_RNA from 1 species